GAUGAACGCUGGCGGCGUGCCUAAUACAUGCAAGUCGAGCGAACGGACGAGAAGCUUGCUUCUCUGAUGUUAGCGGCGGACGGGUGAGUAACACGUGGAUAACCUACCUAUAAGACUGGGAUAACUUCGGGAAACCGGAGCUAAUACCGGAUAAUAUUUUGAACCGCAUGGUUCAAAAGUGAAAGACGGUCUUGCUGUCACUUAUAGAUGGAUCCGCGCUGCAUUAGCUAGUUGGUAAGGUAACGGCUUACCAAGGCAACGAUGCAUAGCCGACCUGAGAGGGUGAUCGGCCACACUGGAACUGAGACACGGUCCAGACUCCUACGGGAGGCAGCAGUAGGGAAUCUUCCGCAAUGGGCGAAAGCCUGACGGAGCAACGCCGCGUGAGUGAUGAAGGUCUGCGGAUCGUAAAACUCUGUUAUUAGGGAAGAACAUAUGUGUAAGUAACUGUGCACAUCUUGACGGUACCUAAUCAGAAAGCCACGGCUAACUACGU
rnacentral:rRNA from 1 species